UACGAAGGGGACUAGCGUUGUUCGGAAUCACUGGGCGUAAAGCGCACGUAGGCGGCUUUGUAAGUUAGAGGUGAAAGCCCGGGGCUCAACCCCGGAAUUGCCUUUAAGACUGCAUCGCUUGAAUCCGGGAGAGGUGAGUGGAAUUCCGAGUGUAGAGGUGAAAUUCGUAGAUAUUCGGAAGAACACCAGUGGCGAAGGCGGCUCACUGGACCGGUAUUGACGCGUGAGGUGCGAAAGCGUGGGGAGCAAACAGG
rnacentral:rRNA from 1 species